AUUGAACGCUGGCGGCAUGCUUUACACAUGCAAGUCGAACGGUAACAGGUUAAGCUGACGAGUGGCGAACGGGUGAGUAAUGCAUCGGAACGUGCCCGAUCGUGGGGGAUAACGCAGCGAAAGCUGCGCUAAUACCGCAUACGAUCUGAGGAUGAAAGCGGGGGACCGUAAGGCCUCGCGCGAUCGGAGCGGCCGAUGUCAGAUUAGGUAGUUGGUGGGGUAAAGGCCCACCAAGCCGACGAUCUGUAGCUGGUCUGAGAGGACGACCAGCCACACUGGGACUGAGACACGGCCCAGACUCCUACGGGAGGCAGCAGGGGGGAAUUUUGGACAAUGGGCGAAAGCCUGAUCCAGCAAUGCCGCGUGCAGGAAGAAGGCCUUCGGGUUGUAAACUGCUUUUGUACGGAGCGAAAAGGUCCUUUCUAAUACAAGGGGCUCAUGACGGUACCGUAAGAAUAAGCACCGGCUAACUACGUGCCAGCCGCCGCAGUAAUAC
rnacentral:rRNA from 1 species